CUGGAAUUGUUUCUUUGCCCUUCCUUCCUUCUGCCUUACCUGUACAUUGAAUACCUUACCUGUACAUUGAACUCAUGCUGUCUCUGGAAUGCACAUUUUCUUACCCACCUCAAGUUGCUACUUAGCCUCAAAACAGACUGCCAUAGACAAAGUCUGCAAUGUGCUUUGAUCUUAUCGGGGAAUGGUGCCCCACUGGUGCACCAAUGGUUAUACACGACUCAGGCAAAUUAUGCCAAGUCUUUCUUAAAAAAAAAAAAAAGUGUGCUUUCCCAUGUGCCAGAUAUUAUUCCCACAACUUUUUUAUGAAGGAGAGAAUGAAUGAGGGUUUAAGUCCCAUUUUACAGACUGACAACCUGAGAUACAGAGAAGUUAUGUAAAUUUGCUCAAACCACACAUGGAAUCAUAUUCCCUUGGGACUGUCAACCACUCACUCUCCUUCCUUUCAGUUUGGCAGGUUUCAAAAAUGUUCAAUUUAUGCCACAGAUUUUGUAGGCGUUACAAUUACUAACCCAGAUUUGGUAGGGAAUGGUGAUGGUAGAGCCAUUAACUAAACAUAUUACCAAAUAAGCCCAUUUUUACUUAAAAGAUACUAAAAGGUACAAUGUCUCACUUAAAGAUAACCAACGAUACACUGUAGAAGCCUGGAAAUCAAUGAAUCCAGUUCAAGUGAAACAUACUGGGAUAAACUAUACACUCUCCAGGCCUAUUGGGCUACUUCCAGAUCCCUAAAGGAUCCUCUCCUGGCUUACCCGCACUCAUCCUUCAGAUUUCAAUUUCGACAUCAUUUCCUCUGCUGGCUACCCAGAGGAACUGUGGAAGUCGGGGUGAGGUGGCCCCUUGUGUGCUAGCAGUGCAGCACACUGGCUAUAGAUGUACACCUCAAAGUGCAAUUCACACUGGCUGCUAGUUGCCUGCUUGCUGGUCCCUCUCUUCCACAGGUCAACAAAGAUAAACCAGCUCAGCUUAGUGCCUGGAACACAGAGUUGCUCAAUAAAUAUUUGUUGAAUGAAUAAAGUACAGGCAGCCUUUCUUCCCUCCUAUAUCCUUUUAACUCACAAGUUAACUUGUUGGCAAAACUAACAAGACGUUUCUUGGAGCUGUUUUAUGUUUAUGUUUCUUGCUGUUCUCCGGUAUCUAUAUCUCAAUAUUACCACUACGAGUGAAGAGCUAGGAAUCAAAGCUAACCUGAGAAAGUUUAGUAGCAGAGGCUAAAAAAAUAUACUGUAGUAUGAUCUUUCUUCUUCCAGACAGUUAAACAAGAAAGCCAGACCAGCCACCCACAUAUUUCUUCUACUUCCCAUGAUGAGGACAUUCAUAUUUGCUCUGCCUGCCACCCAAUAUUCAUAACUCCAGAAUAUAUACUGACUGCUUUCUUAUUUGCUUUUUGUUUUUUGUUUUGUUUCGUUUUUGAGACAGGGUCUUGCUCUGUCACCCAGGCUGGAGUGCAGUGGCACAAUCUUGGCUCACUGCAGCCUCGACCUCCCAGGCUCAAGUGAUCCUCCCACCUCAGCCUCCCAAGUAUCUGGGAUCACAGGCAUGCACCACCAUGUCAGGCUGAUUUUUAAUGUUUUGUUGUUGUUGUUUGUAGAGACGGAGUCUCACUACAUUGCCUGAGCUGGUCUUAAACUCCUGGGCUCAAGUGAUCCACCCACCUUGGCCUCCCAAAGUGUUGGGAUUACAGGCAUGAGUCACCAUGCCCAACCUAUUUGGUAUUUUAAUAGUACCCAUUAACUGCUUUCUGAACUGAGUUUCAGCCUAUACAAAAGAAAGGGUUCCAGAUCAUUCA
rnacentral:lncRNA from 1 species